rnacentral:rRNA from 1 species
UACGAAGGGGGCUAGCGUUGUUCGGAAUCACUGGGCGUAAAGGGUGCGUAGGCGGAUUCUUAAGUCAGGGGUGAAAUCCCGAGGCUCAACCUCGGAACUGCCUUUGAUACUGGGGAUCUUGAGUCCGGAAGAGGUGAGUGGAACUGCGAGUGUAGAGGUGAAAUUCGUAGAUAUUCGCAAGAACACCGGUGGCGAAGGCGGCUCACUGGUCCGGAACUGACGCUGAGGCACGACAGCGUGGGGAGCAAACAG